GAUGAACGCUAGCGACAGGCUUAACACAUGCAAGUCGAGGGGCAGCAUAAAAGUAGCAAUACUUUGGUGGCGACCGGCGCACGGGUGAGUAACGCGUAUGCAACCUACCUAUCAGAGGGGGAUAACCCGGCGAAAGUCGGACUAAUACCGCAUAAAACAGGGGCACCGCAUGGUGAUAUUUGUUAAAGAUUAAUUGCUGAUAGAUGGGCAUGCGUUCCAUUAGGUAGUUGGUGAGGUAAUGGCUCACCAAGCCGACGAUGGAUAGGGGAACUGAGAGGGUUGUCCCCCACACUGGUACUGAGACACGGACCAGACUCCUACGGGAGGCAGCAGUGAGGAAUAUUGGUCAAUGGGCGCAAGCCUGAACCAGCCAUCCCGCGUGAAGGAAGAAUGCGCUACGCGUUGUAAACUUCUUUUCCAGGGGGAGAAUAAUCCUGUCGUGACAGGACUUGACGGUACUCUGGGAAUAAGCAUCGGCUAACUCCGUGCCAGC
rnacentral:rRNA from 1 species